rnacentral:rRNA from 1 species
CACGCCCUAAACGAUGCGAACUGGAUGUUGGGUGCAACUAGGCACUCAGUAUCGAAGCUAACGCGUUAAGUUCGCCGCCUGGGGAGUACGGUCGCAAGACUGAAACUCAAAGGAAUUGACGGGGGCCCGCACAAGCGGUGGAGUAUGUGGUUUAAUUCGAUGCAACGCGAAGAACCUUACCUGGCCUUGACAUGUCGAGAACUUUCCAGAGAUGGAUUGGUGCCUUCGGGAACUCGAACACAGGUGC